rnacentral:rRNA from 1 species
CCCGCCCGGGGCGCGCCCCGGGCGGGGCGGGGGCACGGGGGGAACGCGAAGAACCUUACCAGGUCUUGACAUACUCGUGCUAUUCCUAGAGAUAGGAAGUUCCUUCGGGACACGGGAUACAGGUGGUGCAUGGUUGUCGUCAGCUCGUGUCGUGAGAUGUUGGGUUAAGUCCCGCAACGAGCGCAACCCCUAUUGUUAGUUGCCAUCAUUAAGUUGGGCACUCUAACGAGACUGCCGGUGAUAAACCGGAGGAAGGUGGGGAUGACGUCAAAUCAUCAUGCCCCUUAUGACCUGGGCUACACACGUGCUACAAUGGAUGGUACAACGAGUCGCGAGACAGUGAUGUUUAGCUAAUCUCUUAAAACCAUUCUCAGUUCGGAUUGUAGGCUGCAACUCGCCUACAUGAAGUCGGAAUCGCUAGUAAUCGCG